CAGAAAGGAAAAAAGCAAGAGUGGAGGUUGUCUCUCCCAUCAAAGUCUACUGAGUGAAUGGUUCAUUUUGGAUCAAUGGCUAAGACGCUAAAAUAAGCCCAGUCUCCCUUUCUCUUGUCAGGAGAUGAAGGACCCAAUAAGGAGAUUGUUUCUUCAUUUCCAAAGACAAGGCCUUUAGUACUGAGCCAGAUAUCACCAGAAACAGCAAAGGAAACAAAACCCAUGUGUAAUCCCACUCCAUACCUAAACUGGAAACCAAGAUAAGAAGGCCUCCAGCAUGCUGAGU
rnacentral:lncRNA from 1 species